GGAACAUGCUACAGAACAAUGCCUGGACACUGUCCCUCAACCAUGCUCUGCUUUCCAGAGUAAAACCAUCUGGAUAUCUGAGCCGGGAGAUAGGGGAUAUGCCCUGCACAGGAUCCUCUCAUGUGAAGAAAGGAUCUCUGCAGCUCACGAGACUGCCUCGAGGCACACCUAACUGGUGCUGCCCACAAGCAGGGUCCUUUCGAUUUCAGGAGCAUCUGUGGAGCGCAUGAAAGACUCUGAGUAAUCAGAAGAUGGAAAAUUGAUGUCAGAAGAGCAGUGGCUGGCUCAUAUCUGGAUCAUAUCUUCUUUCAUGGGAAGAAUGAAGCAUGUCUGCCUACAAUGCCUGUGUUCCCUGUGCCUGGUGACAAGCUCUGCCUGAAUGCAGCUAAGCCACAGCUAUGUCAAUCUGGAUCUUCAUAUCCAAGUAAUUAUGAAAUCUCCAGAGCCAAGAACUCUUCAAAUCAGACAUAUGCAUCACAGCAAAAUAUUAGUUCAGCAAACACGACACAAUAUAGCACAUCGGUUAGUAAUUGGCUUCUUUACAGCUUUGCAGGUUCUUUUCCUGACCCAUAAAUGACACUCAGGAACACACAGGAUUUUUUACUUCCUGAAAUGAAGAAAUUUUACAUCCUUACAACCAAAGCCUGAACAUUCAUAACUCUUUUCUGAUUUUCUCUGAAAUGCCAAAUUCUCCCAAAAAGGGAUUUUUAUACAGAGUUGAGUGUUUUUCAACAUGGUGUUCUUCUUUUUGUGAAAACUGAAACACUGUGCAGAAAUUUCAAACUUUUUUAUUUGGUUCUGCACUUUUAUAACAUAUAUAACAUGCAAUAUAUUCUGGAA
rnacentral:lncRNA from 1 species